rnacentral:misc_RNA from 1 species
AAGUAAUGCUCAUAACUUCCCUUUAGACCCAGGGGCUGUUGAAGUUCCAUUUAMAAAAGGAUAAGACUUUGGUUUUAUUAUAAGUAWAAGKCGAGUUUUUUAUUGGAAAGUACAGGAACAAUAACCAAUUUCUUAUUCUAUCAAGAGUUUUGGCUAUUGUUCCUGUACUUAGUAAUCUUUUUUUUCCAUAAGUUUUUUUUCUUUCAACAUAAAAAAAAGUAUUCUAGUCUUAGGGAUUGUUUUCUGAUUGCGUAUCAUACUUUUUUCCUUAUAUAGGAAAUUCUAUAUAAUUAAUAUACAUUCUUUUCAAACCUUUCUUUGUAAGGCUUUUUGAAAUUAUUAUCUUGUAGUUUUUUUUUUUGGGGGAAUCCAAAUAAAUACAAAWAAUAGUGAUARAGGGGGGGGGCGGAUGUGGCCCAGUGGAUCAAGGCGGUGGAUUGUGAAUCCCCC